CCUACGGGCGACAGCAGUGAGGAAUAUUGGUCAAUGGACGAAAGUCUGAACCAGCCAUGCCGCGUGCAGGAAGACGGCCCUAUGAGUUGUAAACUGCUUUUGUACGAGGGUAAACCCAGAUACGCGUACCUGUCUGCAUGUAUCUUAUGAAUAAGGAUCGGCUAACUCCGUGCCAGCAGCCGCGGUAAUACGGAGGAUUCAAGCGUUAUCCGGAUUUAUUGGGUUUAAAGGGGGCGUAGGCGGUCGGAUAAGUUAGAGGUGAAAGCCCGAGGCUCAACUUCGGAAUUGCCUCUGAUACUGUUAGGCUAGAGAGUAGUUGCGGUAGGCGGAAUGUAUGGUGUAGCGGUGAAAUGCUUAGAGAUCAUACAGAACACCGAUUGCGAAGGCAGCUUACCAAGCUACGUCUGACGUUGAGGCACGAAAGCGUGGGGAGCAAACAGGAUUAGAUACCCCAGUAGUC
rnacentral:rRNA from 1 species